AAAAUCAGAACGAUAUAGAGAAGAUUAGCAUGGUCCCUGCAUAAAGAUGACAUGCAAAUUCGUGAAGUGUUCCAUAUUUUA
rnacentral:snRNA from 1 species